rnacentral:sRNA from 1 species
GCCAGGUACAGUAGCAUAUGCCUGUAAUCCCAGCUACUUAGGAGGCUGAGGCAGGAGGAUGGCAAGUUUAAGGCCAGCCUUAGUGACUUAGCAAGAUCCUGUCUCAA